UAUAGAGCAGAAGUAACAACAGUAACAGUGAUAGUAAUAGUAAUAAACAACAAUAGCCGCAAGAAUGUAACGGCAACGACAGAGCGGCAAUAACAACAGGAGCAGCAGGAGCAGCAACAGCAGCAACAGCAGCAGCAACAGCAGCAACAGCAGCAGCAGCAGCAGCAGCAACAGCAGCAGCAGGCAGACCAGCCAGCUAGCCAGCUAGCCUGCCAGCCUGCCAAGCAGGCAGGCAGGCAGCAGGCAGACGAGGGGGAUUGUGGUGGCGGACACGCACAGUUCGGUACGCGCUGGCAACUGGCGCGCCACGAGAGUUCAUUGUCCCGUGCGUGCCCGCCGAUGGAAGCCCCUCGACCGAAAUGAGGGACCGGUGUUGGCUGUAAACUUGACGAGAGACCGAGGAGGAGGAGAAUGUUGAUUCGGGAUAUAGAGUACUACUGAACUACUACAUCGUUAUAACUACUACGUACGUCACUACUGCCGUUACUGUUACUACUAUCGCAGUACUCUACUUAUGUGUUCGCUAACGUCGACAUACAUCACUACUAUGUAUGCGUUGGCUAACGUCAGCAUAUACUGCGGUACCACUACUAUCAACCAUUGCCGUCGCCCAUUACGGCUGCUCGAUGCAGCCAAGAGCGAGCAGGCAGGCAAGCAAGCAAGCAGGCAAGCAGGCAGGCCCGUACGCAGUACUCGUGGAAAGUACCGAACGUGAUGUCGGCUUAUUCCUCGGUAACUUUCCAUCGUAUCGAGCGUAAACGAAGAAAGUUUUACCGAAGCAAUGCGACAAAAAGUAA